rnacentral:lncRNA from 1 species
CGGAGGGCGCGGGGUGAGUCGGCGGCGGCGGGUCAGCGAGAAGGAGGGGGCGGUCGGGGCGGGGCCGCGGGACUCGGCGCGCGGUGGAGCUGCCGGCCAAGUGGGCGUCAGCAGUCUGUAAACACGAAGCGGGGGACGUUGAGGAAGCGCUCGUGGGGAAAACGCGCGAAGGGCGGGCGGGAAACGGCCGGUGCACGAGGGUGGCAGGAAUGGAGGCCAGGGAAAGAGAGCGGGGCGUGGAGUCCGGCCCGCUCCUUCCUCGGCCCACUGGCAACUGGGAGCCGCUGCCGGGCGUCUGUCAGUCGUUCACAGGCCGAAUGUCCCGCGGGAGACGGGGAAAAGUGCCACGCGCUCCGUCAGGGGGACAAAAGGUAGCUCUGGAGACCCUGAGUCCAUGAUCGGGUCCAUGUGGAGCUGCCCUUCGCCGGGGCCGCCAGGGCGGACUGCUGGACCAGCUGUGCACAUUCGGGGCUGAGGCGGCCCCUGGGGACCCGGGAGCGGCCGCUCGCCCGUCACGCGGCUCCAGAGCGGCAGCAUGGCGGCUCAGCCGUCCGCGAGGCCUGCUGUGUGCAAGCCCCGUGGGGGCCCCAGUGUCGUUGCCAGAGUCAUCCCCGUGUGCAGCGUUUGCAGUGUGGUAGUACGCAAUCCGGAAGUCAGAAGCGUUAAAGGUUUUUCAUAGCGAUCCUGUGACAGAAGGAGUUUGCUGGACUAGGAAUCUAGGAGACCUGGCUUCUGCUGUUGUCACUUCACCCUUCUCGACCUCGGCUGUCAACGGAGCUUAUUGACUGAACUCAAAGGCUCCUUCUUCUACCUCUAGAAUUCAAAGACUGUGAGAAAAAUAACUGAUAGGACUUCAGAAACUGCUCAUUCAGUAACCACUUGUUGAUUGUGCCUUUUAUGGUGCCGGGAUGAAAUUUGAAUAAUACCAGACAAAAAAGAAAGCCAGGAUAUGAUUCUAGAGCCACUCUCUGGAAUUGACUGUUUUCAGUUCUUCACCUGGUACUGGAAGAUGCCAUUGUGUCUGGCUUCCUUAUCACAAGCUGAAUUCCCAGUUCUGUAAAGGCUGUGAAAACCCACUGGGAUAUUAACAAGACUUUAAUAGCUGCAGUUUACCACCUUAUAAAAUUAAAUUAAAUGUAACGAGGGGGCUAAAGUUUCAAGAUAUUCUCCUUGGAGAAAGUAAAGAAACUUAAAAUGAACCUGAGACCAUACUGUAUCUAUUGUUGCACUUGCUACCAACCUUUCUUUGGUAUGGAUGGUCUUUUCUGUCUCCCUCGGUUUCUAACAUAUUUUCCAUGCGCUUGCUUGUUCAGCAUGCAGAGUAUUGCUGCUGCAUGCUUGUGAAACUAUUUUCCAUUGAAUCCCUUUCUAGAACCAAAACAAGGACAGAGUGCAGAAAGGAAACCUGUGCCCUGAUGGAAUGUGCUGAUAACCCUAUCUUCCCUACUCCCCAAACCUGAUUUGGGCACCCUUGGUUUCAGCAAGAGAGAGCUAAACAGUUUGUAUGUACUUGCUGAUCUGCCUGUAACUCCACUUCCUAUUCACAACCUAAUCUCAGAUGAUACCACAAUGCCCACAGUAUGCCGAUCUCUUCCAACAGCAGAUGGAAUCAGAUAAAAAGAGCUCUCGCCCAAGUGUGUUGUUUUAAAACCUGAUGGAGAGCUAGGAAAUCAUAUGCAACAUUGACUGUAGUUAGUUUUUAAAUAACACUGGUAGCAUAUGUCUGGCGCCUGUGCUCAGGAUCUCAACAGAUCAUUUUCAGGAUAUUGACAUUUAACUGAGUUCUUAUGAAGUAGCAUAGAGUUCCAAAAUCUAGAAUUUAAAUGUAAGUUCCACAAAGGCAGAGAUUUGAGUUUGAUUUAUAUAAAUAUAUAUCCCAAGUGCUUAAAAGCACUUGGCAUGUGGUAGGUGCACAAUAAAUUUCUACUGAAUGUAUUUUUGAGUAAUAAUGUGUAUGCAAAUUGCUGAAUAAACUUGUCCUGCUUUUUUCCUAAUUCCUUAAUAGGUAACCCACUUUUCAUUGUGCAUUUCUAAGUGAAAAGGCAUAAAUUUACAUCUGGUAUCACUGCUAUGGCUAGGCUAUAGAGAAACAGGAAUUUGGCAAUAUCUAUCAAAAUUACAAAUGCAUUCCUACACUGAACCUGCAAUUUCAUUUCUAGGGAUUUAUCCCAGGAUGUAUUUCCACAUGUGAGAAAGGAUAAGAUAUUUCUUAUUGUAUUGCCGAGAAUAGCAAAUGAUGGGGAAUAACCUAAAUAUCCACCAACACGACACUAGUUAAAUUAUGAUAUCCAUACGUUUGAACACUGUCUAGCUGUUAAAAAAAAGACAAAGUUCUUUACAUUUUAAUAUUAAGAUCUCUGAGAUUUUUUUGUUGAAGAAAGCAGGAAAAUGAUGCAGAAUAAUGUAUUGGCUUGUAUAUGCAUUAAACUAGGAUAGACUGUUGAGGUAUGAGAUAUCAGUGGGUGGAGGACAUAGGAAAGACCUUUCACUGUAUUCGUAUCUGAACUUUCUGAUAUUUAAACCAUGAGAAUGAUUUCCCUACUCAAAAAGUUAAAAUUUUUACUAUAAAAUUUUUCUGGUAUCUUUAUUUUGUUAUUAAAACAUUCAGGUUCUAUCUAUUUUAUCAAAAUUUACCUGAUUAAAAUAUCAGGUACACUAGUACACAUACAAGGUAAACUUUUUUGAAAUUCAGAGUUGUUUUCAUUAAGUUCAAGUUGAACACUGUCUACUCCUUACUGUAAUAAUUUCAGAUCCAGGUACUACAUGUAGUUGGAGGCUUAGUAUACAUCGUAUCAAAUAUAUGUAAAUUUUCAAAAGUGUUUUUCUUGAAGUAGAGCUUUACUUGAGCAAGUUUUAACGACUUGGAUCCUCUGUUUUAAGCAUAAAAUUAGAAUUUUUUUGGACUAUUUGUUCAUCUCCUAAUAAGGUCAAGAAAAAUAUAUUUGAGAAC